UAAUUUUCUUCUCUUUUUUUUUUCAUCCUAAAAUUUCGAUGUUCUUGGGUCCUUUGGGUCAAACUCGACGUCUCAACUCUCCUUGAUCUUUCUCCCGUCUCGUCUCCUUUUAUAUAAAGCUCAUGUGUAUAUAUAGAUAGAUAGAUAUCAAGUUUUAGCAAAAGCGGUCUCUCUUUCUAUAUAUUUGUGCAUGGAUAUGGGAGAGAUUGAUAGAUAGAUGGAUAGAUGGAUGGAUUAACAGUCGUUGUUUGCGGGAGUAGCAUCAUCAAGAUUCACAUGCAACUGCACGGUGGCGAUGAUAAUAAUACUAACUCUUUUUCCUCUUUCUCCUUUCUUCCCUCCCUGUCCUAAAUUUUAUUGCCAAACAUCUUUGAAAGUGAGAAUCUUGAUGAUGCUGCAUCGGCAAUAAACGACUAUUCAAAACAAGGAAAAAAAAAUAUACGAGUCUUUCGAGAUAUCUCAGUUGCAAAUGUACAGUUUUGCACUUGUCAACAAAAAGAAGUUGAUUCUUUCUUUGCAACUUCCCCCAUCUUCUAUUGUUUUCUGUUGUUGUCAGGUGGGUUUAGUAUUUUUCUUUUUACACCAGUCUUGAUUUCACGGGCUAAUCUUUAAGUACUAAUGAAGGGUUUCUCCAUUAAAUGGAUUUGAUGCUUUUAUUACACGGCCUUUUUCUUUUUAUUUUUUUCGCUUUGCGGGGUAUGUUAAGCCUAACGAAUAGUGAAUACUAGGGUGUUUCUAAAGGACUUUGACUUGUAGAUCUAUGAUUAUUCUUCUGAGCCAAAUAAACUGCUACAGUGGAAAUGGGUACCUUUUCAUGGAGAACAGACUUUGCCCUGCAACUCAAAAAGAUGGGAGCCUUGAAAUAAGAAGCUCUUUAAGAGAAUAUGUCAAAAAGAUAUACAGGCAAAGGAACAAUCUUUCUGGCCUAAUGAGCUUCGAUGAAAGCUAAACAAACUAGGGAAUGGUCGGCUCCAGGAGUGGUUCAAGCAGAAACUGUGGAAAGAAGGGUUAGAGAAAUGAGAGAGGCAAUGCUUGGUUGGAGCUACUGGAUUUGACAUCUUCACUGUUUCUCAAACUUUUUCAAAUGCUGGAUGGGUCAUAGAGAAUAGAACUGAUUUGCUGAUGCUUUAGCAAAAGGUGGAGUGGAUGGCUCCAAUAUCUUCAUGUUCUUGUUGCUGUGUUUAUGCUGGUUGGAUGAUAUUGCUUUGCUGAUGCUUUGCUGGUUGCGCUGCCGUUCCAGCUUUCGGGGUUGUUUGACUUGUCUUCGUCUUCGGUGGACUAUUUUGUUGUUGAUGAUGUUAUUCACAGGACUGUAGGGCCUGCUUGCGUGGUAAUGUUGUUUGCUGUAAUACCUUUUUACCUUCAAUAAUAUCAAUAAAAUUUUCGAGCAAA